AAAAUAAACACAGUUGACAGUGAGAGGACGUUUUCUUUUUUUUGCUGAGUUCACAAUUCAAGAGUAUUUUUAAGUCUACCAAUUGGUGCUGAAAAGGAGAUGAAUAUGCUUAUAUUUACUUGGGCCAGGACGAUACCAGUAUCGCAGUGUUUUUUUUCCAUGACAAAAAUUAAAACAGGAAGCAGACCAAACUCUUUGGCCCUUUAAAAACCUGCUGGAUGUAAAAUCAUGUGUGCUAUAGCUUGGAAAAUAUAUAAAUGUGAUUCUGGAUGACAACAUAAUGAUGUUUGUUCCAAAAUUAGGUCUAUUUUCCUAAAGAAGUCAAAUCCACUUAAUGUUUUGCUUCCUUGCCAUGAUAUGAACAAGUAUCACGAUACUGGUAUUGUCCCGGCCCCAUUAUUUACAUGGCUUUCUUAAAUUGAUCCCUAAUAUUCUGAACAUGCUCUCCAUAUACUCUGAGUCUGAUAAUGUUAAUUAACAGUAUGCCAAUUUAACGGGAUGGCUUUCGAUAAAUGUAGUGGAAACUCAAUUGAAUGAAAACUCCAUGAGAAAAUCUGUUGACUAGCAAGUGGGAGGGUUUUCAGCAGUUUAAUAAAAUGUAUUCAGCCCAGGGAGCCACGCCUGCAAAGCCUGUUAAACACCUGCAUAAGGUAAGUCUGAAUAACAACUGAGAAGUGUGUAGGAAAGGCAUGCGUAGGAAAGAUGUACAUUUCCUAAGUCUGAAUCGGGCCACAUAUAGAUAAAUGUACUGAAAACCAUAUUGAAUGAAAACCAGCUAUUGCUGAUUUAAACAUAGGGUACAUGUUUGCCAAUAUAGCUGCCAAACAGUUGCAAUGUUUUUGAUUGGAUUAGUCUGACACUGACAGUACUCUUUCAGUACAGUUUUCUUUCUAAAUGCUUAAACUCUACAUCAGUUUGUAAUUUUAUAACACACUUUUUGCAAAACUGUAAACACAACUCACUGCUUUACACUCAGUUUGCAAUUUAAUAACACACUUCUAGCAAAACUGUAAACAUUGGUCUCCACAUUGCUACACUUUCACCAAUUGCCUUUCCACAUUGACACAUGAAAACUCUUUUAGAUAAUGAGUUCACUUACAAAUCACAACUUGAGCACUAUAAAUAGGCCACAGUAAACAUUUGGUUUGGACAAUAUUGGACAGAGCGUAAGAGGUAUGAGAAGGUGAAGAAGUAGGAGGAGGAGAAGGAGAAAUAGGUGAAGUAGGGAAGAGGAAGGGGAGUCAGGAAAACGAUAACUGAUGAAAUCAGAGUGACUGUGGUUGACCAUGUUGUCAACCAUAGGAUGAGCAUGAGGGAGGCUGGCCAACAGUUUAAACCAAAUCUACUGUUGCAGGUAUCAUCCGGAUAUUUCGAAAUGAGAACCGAACUGCAAGAAAACCAGUAUCUGUUGGAAGAGGUUGACUGUUCACCACAGAGCAGGAGACCCACAUUGUAAAUAUAGUCAUUGCAGACUCAGACUGCAGGAGUACAUAAUGGCAGAUAACACCAUAUUCCAAAACGUCAACAGAGUGAGUCUCUCUGUCUCGUCUACUGAAACACAAUAGAAUUAGGAUGAAGCAGAUGUACAGUGUCCCUUUCGAAAGAAACUCAGACUGUGUAGAACAACUGCGAUAUGAAUAUGUGCAGGAGCCACGGCAGGAAUAUCAUCGGACACCGUGCCAUUAUCAACGUCCCGUGACAAUGUGGUGGCAACAUAAAAAAGGCUAUUAGUCAAAACGGCGUCCUUCACCAUCAUGCAAUCCUAGCCCCAUACAACACUGCACAGAUUAUCACAUUUCUGGACACCCUCCACAACAGACUAAUCCCUAAUGACCAGGGGCCACAGCAGCCAGGUACGUUAUCAUCUGGGACAAUGUUAGUUUCCACCGGGCUGCUGUGGUCCGCAAUUGGUUGACUGGUCACCCACUUUUCAUUGCACUCAAUCUCCCACCAUACUCUCCGUUCUUGAAUCUUCUCUGCAUGGCGUUGGAAGGUGUAUCAUCGCCAUCCCCAACAGCGCAUACCCCUUCUACAGGUAAUGGCUUGUGGAGACAUCGAUGAGGGGUCAUGCCAGGCCUGGAUAAGGCACUCCAGGCGAUACUUUCCACGCUGCCUAGGUCAAGACAACAUCGCAUGUGAUCUUAUGGCCAGACCCACAUAGAAGUUGAGAUAUCGCCCCCAAAAAAUGAAAAACUUUUUCUAGUACAAAUGUUUUUGUUUUCUUCUGCUGCACUUUUGUUGUUUGAGGGAAAAAAAUAACUUUUCCCCUUAUUUGUAUUGAUAGUGUGUUACGUACGGAAUGCACAUCCAUACUUUACACAUUUGGAUACCUGUGUGUAUGUGUGUUUACUACAUGUAUGACAAAACGUUAUUGCAAACUGCUAUGCCCUGCACACAGAAAAAGAAAAAGUCACAAGUGUUUUUCAUUUAUACAAUCAGUGGGUAAUUGGUGCUUAGUGUGCUUAUUCAAUUGAUGGUUUGUGUGUACUGUAUUGACGCAAAACAUUUUUUUUUAAAGAGUUUGAAGAGUUUUGUAAGAAUUGUUUGCUUUUGCAAGAGAUGUACAAUGUUUUGCUGGUUUGGUGUAAGUUUUUGUGGUUAGUGUGUAGAGUUUUGCAAAAAUCGCCUAUAGUUUCAAAGAUAGUGCCUAUGCAAUCAGAACAAAACUGUAAUAGGUGGAAUAUGUCUAAUGAUAAUACAAAAAAACAUUUAUUAAAAUGAUGCAGAUAACAAAACCAAUUUAGCCCGGUUUCCAAAAUAUAUAAUCUUUGUAAAAUAUUAGCCAUAUUUUUCUAAAAUGUGCCAAACAAUUUAUCUAUAAUAUUCCUAAAGGGAUUGUUUGCUGGUUUAUAGUGAUUAUAAUGCUAAUAUUAUGCCAUAUUGUUAAAUAUAAAAUCCGUCUUAAAUCCUGUCAUAUAUACACUGCAUUCCAUCAUAACAUUACAAAUGAUGAGGGUAUCAACUUACAAACAGUACCAGUCGAAAGUUUGGACACACCUACUCAUUCAAGGUUGAAUUAUUAUUAUUAUUUUUUAAUUGU